CCUACGGGUGGCAGCAGUAGGGAAUCUUCGUCAAUGGACGGGAGCCUGAACCAGCAAAGUCGCGUGAAGGAUGAAGGAUCUCUGGUUUGUAAGCUUCUUUUAUAUGGGAAUAAGGUGGGGAACGUGUUCCUUUUUGUAUGUACCGUAUGCUUAAGCGUCGGCUAACUCCGUGCCAGCAGCCGUGGUAAUGCGGAGGCUGCGCGCGUUAUCCGGAUUUAUUGGUUUGAAAGGUUGCGUAGGUGGUUAAUUAAGUCAGCGGUGAAAGUUUGUGGCUCAACCAUAAAAUUGCCGUUGAAACUGGUUGACUUGAGUAUAUGUGAGGUAGGCGGAAUGCGUGGUGUAGCGGUGAAAUGCAUAGAUAUCACGCAGAACUCCGAUUGCGAAGGCAGCUUACUAAAUUAUAACUGACACUGAAGCACGAAAGCGUGGGGAGCAAACAGGAUUAGAUACCCGGGUAGUC
rnacentral:rRNA from 1 species